rnacentral:rRNA from 1 species
UACGGGGGGGGCAAGCGUUGUUCGGAAUUACUGGGCGUAAAGGGCUCGUAGGCGGCCAACUAAGUCAGACGUGAAAUCCCUCGGCUUAACCGGGGAACUGCGUCUGAUACUGGAUGGCUUGAGUUUGGGAGAGGGAUGCGGAAUUCCAGGUGUAGCGGUGAAAUGCGUAGAUAUCUGGAGGAACACCGGUGGCGAAGGCGGCAUCCUGGACCGGCAUUGACGCUGAGGCGCGAAAGCUAGGGGGGCAAACGGG